CCUAACUAAAGUUGCCACACACAGCAAAUGAAUAUUGACUUAAGCGCAGCUGCCAAGGCAAGAGCCGUGUGAAGCUGAGGAAUUCCUUUUCCAACCGUUUGCAGGAACAGCAGCUCUUCACGAGGCUUCUUGGUGGGAAGAGCCUCUGCGUAGGUUGGAGGAACUCCAGCUUGGGUAAAACAACACCUGUUCUUGGUGACCUGCUCAAAGCCGUUUCCCAGGGAUGCCAGCAGGGGUAGCUGGGGUUUGGGUUCAGCUGCAGGAUGCGACUGGUGUGAAACUGCACAGCAAAUCCCCAGGCGUGGGGCUCUUGUUCCUGUCAGCCCCUUGCCUCUGGCUUCAUUUUCCCUUGCAGCCCUUUGGCACUCACAUUGCAGCAGAGGGGAAGAUGCUUUUGCAGCCAGGAGCCAGCUCAUCCCUGAGACCGCAGGGAGCCGCAGCCGCAGAUUGAAACCGCAGCUCGCCAGCAAAUGCAAAACAAUGUGCAAACAUGUUUUAAUGUCAGGUUUUUAUUAAAAGUGGACUAAGAGAUUAAGAUGUUCAUCUGCCUUGCAGGGAGCGACUUUAUAAAUCUCAGCUUGCGUGCUCUUGCCAAGCGUUGCUAAUCAGCAGGCUGGAUCCACGUCACGUGUGCACAGUCUGCUUCCUCGUGAAGGCUCUCUUUCUCCAGGCAAUGGGAGAUUGGGCUCAGUGAGACCUCCUGGGGUUUAAUGAGGUUCCCACUGACACAGAGUUAUUGGGUUCUUAUUCCCCUUUUAAGCAUUCUGCUCUACAGGCCUGCUGCAUGUUGGUGUCUCUGCUUUGAGGACUCUGUGUGGAGCAUCACUGGGUCAGCAGGGACCCAUGUCUGGCAUGGGAUCCCCUAUUGGACGCGUUAGAAGGUACUUUGAAUGCCACAGGGAUGGCAGUGAUCACUGCAAAGACCUUUGAAAGCAACUGGCAUGUUAAAAACUCUCUGCCACGCUGAACUGCAGUGGUGGCAGUGAUUUAAGAGCACUGGAAAAUCUUGUCCUUGACCUCUUAAGCUUGUCAUAGCCAUAGGAUUGGAGCAGCUUUGGCGAGAGAUGAUUUGGUUCCUGGCUUUUUUUUCCCCUUCCUCUCUGCUUGUUUUAUGCUCCUAUAAGCAUUCAUCCAGAAAUUCCCCUUUGCUGUGCUGGAUUGAUGGCUCUGGGACAAUCAGCAGUAUUCUGCUGCUGUUAGGAGUUCUAAAGGCAGUAAAGUUGGGUCCUUGAAGUGCUGUCAGUAAUCAUUUUUAUGGUGGUCAGAUUGCUCAUUAGCACACUUGUUUUCAGAUAUUUAAGCUGGAAAGAAAUCUAUAGUCCUUGCAUUUUUAACUUGAUAACCACUCAAUAGAACAAAUAGAGUUGGAAAUUAGAGCAGAGCUGGGCUGGAAGAAAUAGUCCUGAAUGCUCACCUUUUACCCCAAAGGUCUAUGGAGACAAUUGCUUUGAGAACACAGCUUGGGGGAGCACAUGCAUUCCCAGCCUACCGAGAGGUAAUAACAGCUCAGGUUUACAGUGGUGAUUAGCCAGUAGGAUGGGACCUGGAGGUAGUCCUAAAAUAGGUAUAUUGAAAGCUUCUGCUCUGAGUCUGGGUGAAAAACAAGGACUGGAUUGGAGCUGGACAUGAAGCAAAAGAAACAGCCCAAGAAAUCCUAACCGAUGGUUCCCAGAACCUGGAGGCAACUGGGUGGAUUCAGAGCAGUGCUGGAGUGGCUUUUCUUGAAGUCCUAUUUCCCAGGCAGGGCUGUGAAUGGCCCUUGAGCACAUGAUGGGGUCUGGGCAGCUGGUUGGGAACUGCUCUGAGUCCUGGUGCACAGUGUGGGAGGUGUCCUGGGGGGGUCUGCAUUUCAUGCUGGCUGUGGUGGCAGAGAGAGGGAGGAAAGCCAUCGGGAAGAGGAAUGUCGAAGUAGGCAGCUGUAGUGGGAAAAUAAUCCUUCUUUCCUGAAGUAGUGACCCAUCCCUGGACCAUGGCCUUUCUGCCCUACCCGUGAUGUGUUUGGGGGCACCCAUCAGAGAAGCAGCAGCCUGGCGCCUGGUGCUCACCUCCAUCUCCCAGAGCGUUCCCUUCCAUCCCGAGCACAGCUCAGCUGCAGUAUCCCCCACCACACCUUUAGUUUAGGCAAUAAAGCAGCAAAGGGUUGGAGGAUUGGUUGGGAUUUUUUUGUUUCUGUAAAGCAUUUUGGGAUUCAGUGGAAGGCAAGGUGCUGUGCAGAUGUAAGCUCGUUAGAAGGUCAUUAUCAUUAUUCACCUGCUGUGUCUGUCUGUCUCUCUAAAUGGCUUUAGCUGUCAGCCUAUUUAUCCAUGUUCCCCUCUUCCUAUUAUUAUAUGGUAAGACAUUGCCUCUGCUCCUAGCCCCCCUAAGGCCCUCCCUCCCCAUUUCCCAUGCCAACAGCACUGUGCUUUGUCUGAUGGGAGUUCAAGGAGCCCAAAGCCAGACUGCCCCGUCCUCCAUCCAUCCUGUGCUGCUGGGGGAACUGGAGGUGUUCCUGCAGCCCUGGAUGCAAAGAGGGUGCCCAGAGUGUGCUCCCCCCACAGCCAGCCCUCAUCUGUCCCCGUGCAUCCCCUGUGUGCUCCGGUGCUGCUGUGUAGCAGCGUUGAUCAGUGGAGAUAAUUAAUAUGAGGAAGUAGAAAAUUUUGUCUUGGGCUUAUUACAGACUCUAACCCUAUUAGGCAGGCCAUUUGGAGUCCAGGGAGGGCUGUUUCUUUCCAGAAGAGAUUGCAAGUGGAUUGAGUUCCAUUAUGUUCCUAAUUAAAAGGAAUGAAAUAAAAGAAAAAAAUAAAUAAAGAAGGGAAGGAAAAGAAGCGAUGGAGCUUUGUGACACUUUGGGAGGAAAUUAAAGCCUCGUAGGUGUUUUCCACUGAUGCACUCACGUGCACUGCCUUGGUGCUUUCUGCUUCCCUCUUCCAUCGCCAACCCAUAUGCGGAGCCCCAGUUCUCCUGGCCCAAGAGUGGGAGGGCCAGGAUAGGGCCUAAGGGGCAGCAAUGGGGCUGAGCAUCAGGAUGAUGCGAUGGGAGCCGGGCAGGGAUGGAUGCUGGGCAGAGGCAGCGAGCUGCAGGCUGGGAGAGCCGUGGUGCACAGUGGGGUGUGGGUGCAAUGGCUCUGCGAGGGAUUCUACAUCAAGGAGAGAUCCCACAUCAAGGCAGCGCCGUCGGGCUCCCAGGAGCGCUAUCGCUUGCCCAAAGUGCUCGGAGCACUUACUUAUUUUGUAAUGCGGCCCCGCAGCCUGUGAUGUGCCAGACGUGGCGUGUCUAAGAAGCCGGGCUGUUCCUUAUCAGCCUCUCGCACUGUCUCAGAACCCUUCUGCUAAGUGUCUUUUGUCCCCUAAUAAACUGAUAAGCUGCUGGUAAUCCGCUGAUCGCUGAUAGGCAGGGCGGCCCUGCUCUCCCUCCCUGCACAGAUAAGGUGGCUCUUUGCCAGCGGGCAGCGGGUGAUACAGCUCAGCCCGCAGCAGGGAGCGGGUGGGCUUUGGGAGUGUGUGCCCCCCACCCCUGGCUCGUGUGAGGAGAGAGAACAGGACCGGGUUGGACUCUCCUGGGGGUUCUGCAUCACUUGGGCAGGCAGGUCCUGCAUCCGUCCUGCAGAGUGUGGGCGUCAUGUCCUGUUCCCAAAUGUGCAUCCUGGCCCUGCUGUCGGCUGCACAGCGGUGCCAGGCUGGGGCAGGGAGUCCUGUGGCUGCCUGUGCUCCUGGAGGGAGACUGGAAAGAAAGGGAAGGUGGGAGGGAAGAGGAAAAAAGGCAUGCGUUUCCUCCUCUUCCCUCUCUGUUGCAGCACUCUUGCUCUCCGCUGUCAGGAGAUGGGCAGGAGGGAGGAGCGCAGCACCCUUUUGGUGUUAAUUAUCUACGAAGCCAUGCAGCUGUGGUGCACGCAGCUCCGGUGCUGGGGCUGCUGCCACCUUUGCAUCUGCCCUGUGCUGUGCAGGAGUAAAGCCCUCUCCCACUUCCCUGCAUCCAGAGCAGCACAGGGCUGCAAUGCAGCACCGCUUCCCUUGGGCUCCCCAUCCCAGCAAACAGCUGCGAGCCUGCGUGAGCCGUGGGGCUGUGGGACAGCCCAGCUCCAGAGGGGGAUCA
ensembl:lncRNA